AACGAACGCUGGCGGCAUGCCUAACACAUGCAAGUCGAACGAGACCUUCGGGUCUAGUGGCGCACGGGUGCGUAACGCGUGGGAAUCUGCCCUUGGGUUCGGAACAACGGUUGGAAACGACUGCUAAUACCGGAUGAUGACUUCGGUCCAAAGAUUUAUCGCCCAAGGAUGAGCCCGCGUAGGAUUAGCUUGUUGGUGAGGUAAAGCUCACCAAGGCGACGAUCCUUAGCUGGUCUGAGAGGAUGAUCAGCCACACUGGGACUGAGACACGGCCCAGACUCCUACGGGAGGCAGCAGUGGGGAAUAUUGGACAAUGGGCGAAAGCCUGAUCCAGCAAUGCCGCGUGAGUGAUGAAGGCCUUAGGGUUGUAAAGCUCUUUUACCCGGGAUGAUAAUGACAGUACCGGGAGAAUAAGCCCCGGCUAACUCCGUGCCAGCAGCCGCAGUAAUAC
rnacentral:rRNA from 1 species